UCCUUUAUAGAUGUCGUCUUCCACCUGCGGAGAACGGCCCGUCGUCACCGUUACACAUUCACCAUACCCGGGAUCUCAUCGGCACUUGCCAUUCUGGUCGGCUUCUGGAUGCCUCCGGACUCAGAGCGGAGGCUGACGCUCGCCUGCCUCAACGUCUUCGUCCUGGCUGUCGUCCUCAACAGGGUGACAACACUGAUCACGGCGUCCGUAACAGUUCCCAAAAUGAUUUUGUUUCUCGGACUUGGCACUCUCGCGGUGUUAUUCACAGCGGCUACAAGUAUACUGGUCACCAGAGCGUCACGCUCCGAUUCCAGAACCCAGGUGCCUGAUAGCUUCCACCACUUCCUCAGUGGCUUCAUCGCGACGCUUUUGUGUAUAAGUUUCGACGAGCCUACCUCAGCCCUCCGAUCUCACGAGCACCGAGAAGUCGCGUCGUUCAACGCCUCACACGAGAGAAGAAGGCGGUGGCUCAUCUUGGCGAAAGCUGUGGACCGCGUCUUUUUGGUCGUGUUUGGAGUCGCGACGCUUGUCUUCUUUAUAUGAACCUUUACAGCGUUAAUAAAAUGUCAAUAAUGA